rnacentral:lncRNA from 1 species
CUUAUCCCCUCCCUCCCACAACAAUCGAAUAGAUCAGCAUAGCGGCAGGAUACGGAGUUUAUUAUGGAGUCAGGGAGCCCAUCCGUUAAGCUGUUAUACUAAUGUGUGCGUGGGGCAACGAUGGCCUCUUGGCGAGAGAAGUAGAGGGACAGGAGAAGAGGACGGACGUCCCAAAGGGAGGCUUUUUCUGCCCAUCAAGUGAAAGUAUCCACCGUCUGCCUGUCAUUUUGUUCUAAUUCUCCAUAGAGCACCUGCCAUUACCUGCUAUUUUUCAUAUUUAUUUACUUCUUUGCAUAUUGACUUUCUCUCUCCUCUAGAAUGUAAGCGCCAGAAGAUAAGGAACCUUGUCUGUCCUGUUUCCCAUGAUACACCUAGCGCCCGGAAGAACGCAUGGAAUAAAGCAACACUCAGUAUAGUUUGUGGGAUGAAUAAAUUGUUACCGGAAACGAGAAGCAGCCAGAUAGGUCAAAAUAAUUUCAAGAUUGAAAGCUUGACCAAGAUAAUCAGGUCAUCAUCCCCGAGUCAUGCAGAGGCUCAGUACCGCCACCCAAGCCAAAGACGGAAGGAGAAGAGGAGGAGGAGGAGGCAGAGGAGGAAGAAAUAGUAGCCUUAGGUAAAAUACCUAAACAGUGAAAAAAUUGCGUACAUAUCUUCACCUACAUAGACGCGACAAAAUAGAUCUUUUUAAAAGUACCUUUUUCAAGAGGUAAAGAAGUAAAUAAAAUCUCGAAUCGUUCUGCCCCAGGAUUCUCGUUCCUGGUAGCUCCGUCACCUCCCACUCCAUUUCAGAUGCGAUGUUCCCGCCCACUCUGAAGAAUCUGCGUACUUGACUCAUUUCUGAAGUUUCUUUUCAGUUUCAGAUCUCCCAAAACUAUAAGUCAGCUGUCAGCCUGUGGAAAUUAAUUUUUCGACACCUGUGAAACCUUGCCAGUGAUCUCCUAAGGUCUUAGCUAUCCUAUAGCUGGUGUCUUCCGUGCCUGAUCGCCUGUGAAUACAGCAGCCACUUGGACCCUCCAGUAGCUGAACUGUUCUUUUCAGUGUUACCAGGAACAUUCUGGACCUUAUCACCUCCCUCGUUUCUGGCCUGAUAUUUGAAAGCCAUAGUGGAAGUUACCAAGGGCCACAUGUAAGGUGCUUCCCUAAAAAUUCAAGUCACUGUGAGCCAAUGACGUGAAAACAGUCACAAUGUUUCACAGUUACAC